rnacentral:rRNA from 1 species
AUUGAACGCUGGCGGCACGCCUAACACAUGCAAGUCGAGCGGCAGCGCGAUAUGUAGCAAUACAUAUUGGCGGCGAGCGGCGGACGGGUGAGGAACACGUAGGAACCUACCCUCGAGUGGGGGAUAACCAAGGGAAACUUUGGCUAAUACCGCAUGAACUCGAGAGAGCAAAGCUGCCGCAAGGUGGCGCUCGAGGAGGGGCCUGCGUCCGAUUAGCUAGUUGGUGAGGUAAGAGCUCACCAAGGCGAUGAUCGGUAACUGGUCUGAGAGGACGACCAGUCACACUGGGACUGAGAAACGGCCCAGACUCCUACGGGAGGCAGCAGUGGGGAAUAUUGGACAAUGGGGGCAACCCUGAUCCAGCGAUGCCGCGUGAGUGAAGAAGGCCUUCGGGUCGUAAAGCUCUUUAGGUUGGGAAGAAGGGUGAUGGAGGAAAUGCUAUCACUUUGACGGUACCGACAGAAUAAGCACCGGCAAACUCUGUGCCAGCAGCCGCCGUAAGAC